rnacentral:ncRNA from 1 species
CUAUAGUUUGAUUCUUGCUAUUACCUUUAUUAGUUAGCUUGGAGAAUACAUGCAAAUCUUGGUGUGUAAUAGGGGCAUUGUUCAUUAGAUAUGAAGGAGUUUAUAAGAUAGUAGCAAAGCUAUGAUUUUUAGAGGUGCAGUAUUAAAAAUUUAAUAAAUCAGAUAAAUAUGGAUUAAGCAAAGCUGAUUUAGGUCAGGUCAAAACUUGUGCCAGCAGCCGCGGUUAGACUCGAUGUCCGAGUAAAGGUUAAUAAGUGUAAGGUUAAGUAAAUUAGGUCAGGUGGGUGCUGAACGUUCAAUGUAAUAAUAAGUGAAAUUUGUCUAUUGGUUAAAAUUGAAUGUAAGCUCUAGCAGACUUGAACUGAGGCCUAGAAAAUUUAGGUAAGGACCAGGAUUAGAUACCCUGUUACUCUAAUAGGAGCAGCUAAAAGAAACUUGAGUAUUAGUAAUAAAUUAAUUUUAAAUUCAAAGAACCUGGCGGUACUUUAGUCUAGUUGGAGGAACCUGUUUUAUAAACGAUAAACCACGUAAAAUCUUUCUUAUUCUUGUAUAGUUAGUAUACCUUCAUUAGAGAUAAUCUUGGUUGAUUGAUUAUUGCAAUUGGUGGGUGAUACCAAAUAAAUUAGAUCAAGGUGCUGCAGAUGAAUAAGUAAAAAUGGGUUACAAUAAUUUUUAGUAUUAGGCGGAUUAUACUUAGAAUGGGUAUAUGAAGAUGGAUUCAAUUGUAAUAUUAACUUUAAUAAGGUAAAAUGGUAUUAGCUCUAAAGUGUGUACAUAUUGCCCGUCGCUUUCAUUAAGUCAGAUGAGAUAAGUCGUAACAUAGUGGGUGUACUGGAAAGUGCACCUAGA